AUGGAUACCGAAUGGGAGCUAAAAUUUCCUAUGGUAACCGUACGAGCCCUAGAGAGAAUCGAGGCAUUAUCGGAUCAUGCACCAAUCAUUCUUGAUUCUAAUUCUACAAGCCAUUCUUCCCGCCACCCUUUCAAAUUUGAAUUGGCAUGGCUGCACCGGGAAGGUUUUGUAGAAAUAAUCAAGAAAGUUUGGGAGAGGCCAGUCAUUGGUCGUACACCGAUUCAGAGAUGGAAUAAUAAAAUAAGGGCCAUGAGGCAACACCUCUCUGGAUGGGCGAAACACAUCAAUGGGUUAUAUAAAAAAGAAAAGCAGCGCCUUUGUACCAUCAUUGAUGACCUCGACAAAAUUGCAGAGACCCGCACCUUAUCUCAACAUGAGAUUGAAUUGAAAAAUCAAUCUAAUGAGAAGGUUGCCCGUCUUCUACGAGAAGAGGAGAUCAAAUACUACCAGAGGUCCAAAGCUGACUUCAUUCUAAUGGGAGAUAGUAAUACAAGAUACUUCCAAUUGGUCGCCAAUGGUCGACAUAGGAAGAAAUGUAUUCAUAGUCUCCAACAGGACGAGGGGCGGAUCGAAGGUCAAAGGGAGCUCAAAAACUAUAUCACCAGCUACUACAAAUCUCUGUUCGAAGCGUCGGAUGAAGGAAAUGUCACCCUUGACGAGACCCGAACAAAUGAUAUUCCACAAGUCACGGCAGAAGAGAAUGAUAUCCUCACGGCACCUUUCUCAGAGGAGGAGGUGGGAGCGGCGGUGUUCCAAAUGGAACACAACAAAGCUCCAGGCCCUGAUGGUUUCCCCGCAAAAUUCUAUCAGAAUUUCUGGGAUAUCAUCAAGGCUGACCUUUUGGAGUUGUUCAAUUGUCUUCAUGCCAAUCGACUUGAUCUAUUCAGAAUAAAUUUUGGUGAGAUUGUCUUGUUGCCGAAGAUUAAGGAGGCUGAACGGAUUCAGCAGUUCAGACCCAUAUGUCUCCUUAAUGUUAGCUUCAAGAUUUUCACCAAAGUGAACAUGAGUGGAGUGAUAUUCAAAAUUGACUUUGAAAAGGCAUAUGACAAGGUCAAGUGGUCUUUCCUUCAACAGGCCCUAAGGAUGAAAGGUUUCUUCGAUAAAUGGCGCCAGUGGAUCCAUAAUUUUGUAACUGGAGGUAGUGUGGCCAUCAAAGUCAAUGAUGAUGUAGGUCAUUACUUUCAGACAAAAAAAGGACUACGAUAG
rnacentral:rRNA from 1 species